UACGUAGGGGGCAAGCGUUGUCCGGAAUCAUUGGGCGUAAAGCGCGUGUAGGCGGUUCAGUAAGUCCGCUGUGAAAGUCCAGGGCUCAACCCUGGGAUGCCGGUGGAUACUGCUGGACUAGAGUGCGGAAGAGGCGAGUGGAAUUCCCGGUGUAGCGGUGAAAUGCGCAGAUAUCGGGAGGAACACCAAUUGCGAAGGCAGCUCGCUGGGACGUUACUGACGCUGAGACGCGAAAGCGUGGGGAGCAAACAGG
rnacentral:rRNA from 1 species